rnacentral:rRNA from 1 species
CCAGAGCCGACAGCAGAAUGACGGUCAGCUUGAAGAGCUUACCUGACGCGCUGAGAGGAGCUGCAUGGCCGCCGUCAGCUCGUGCCGUGAGGUGUCCGGUUAAGUCCGGUAACGAGCGAGACCCGCACUCUAUGUUGCAACGGAUUCCUUCGGGAAUUCAGCACUCGUAGAGGACCGCUGGUGAUAAACCAGGGGAAGGAGCGGGCCACGGUAGGUCAGUAUGGCCCGAAUGCUCUGGGAUACACGCGGCCCACAAUGGCUGGAACAAAGGGAUGCGACUCCGAAAGGAGAAGCUAACCCCCUAAAUCCAGUCCUAGUCCGGAUUGAGGACUGCAACUCGUCCUCAUGAAGGCGAAAUCGGUAGUAGUCGCUGGUCAUCAUCCAGCGGCGAAUAAGUCCCUGCUCCUUGUACACACCGCCUGUCAAGUCACCCGAGUCAGGUACAGACGAGGAUCCGACCUAGUCGGAGACAAGUCUGAGCUUGGCAAGGGGGGCUAAGUCAUAACAAGGUAGCCGUUGGGGAACCAGCGGCUG